GUGAGGCUCAGUGUGGGGUGGGGGUGCCGUCACCUGCCUGACCACCCACUCACCCUGGCCUGACUCUCAG
rnacentral:miRNA from 1 species